GACGAACGCUGGCGGCGUGCUUAACACAUGCAAGUCGAACGGUGACGGGGAGCUUGCUCCCCUGAUCAGUGGCGAACGGUGAGUAACACGUGGGCAAUCUGCCCUGACUUCGGGAUAACGCUUCGAAGAGGUGCUAAUACCGGAUAUGAACCUCGCAGGCAUCUGCGAGGUUGGAAAGUUUCUCGGUCAGGGAUGAGCCCGCGGCCUAUCAGCUAGUUGGUGAGGUAAUGGCCUCACCAAGGCGACGACGGGUAGCCGGCCUGAGAGGGCGACCGGCCACACUGGGACUGAGACACGGCCCAGACUCCUACGGGAGGCAGCAGUGGGGAAUAUUGCGCAAUGGGCGAAAGCCUGACGCAGCAACGCCGCGUGAGGGAUGACGGCC
rnacentral:rRNA from 1 species